UGUUACUAAAUUUUACUAUUUUCCAGAUGAGUAUUUUUGAAGAAAUUUAAUGGAUUUGGCGGCACGACAACUAAUUAGAGGAACCUGCCCUGUAGAUGAUGAACCACGAAUACCUUACUUUUUUUAGUAACUUCAGUUUGUAUAUCGCUGUUGUCAGUAGGUUUUUAUAAAAACCUUUCUAGAAUGAAAUUUUCAUAGACUUCAAGCAAUGUAGCAGCUAAUAAAAAAGAAAGAGGUGGGUUACAAUAAGAUUUUAUUAUACGGAUAAGUUAACGAAAUUUAAUUUUAAAGGAGGAUUUAAUUGUAAGUUUUUUAAAAAACUGAUUUAAGCUCUGUCUUGUG
rnacentral:rRNA from 1 species